rnacentral:lncRNA from 1 species
AGGCCAUAAUUGCAAUGCAAUUGAUUGAAUGGGUUUUAAUUAGGGUAAAUUUUUAAUGCAAUUGUCUAAAUUUUUCUUUUUUGACUAUUUAAUAAAUAGCCAAAAUAGCCUAACCUAUCCAAUCUCUAAAUUAAUUGGGAUUCUAAUUGGGGUUAUUAAAUAACCCCAAUCUUAAACCCAUUAUUAAUCAGCAGCCCACUCCAACAAACAACAAAUCAGCUAAUACUUCUUUUAAAAUUACCCUAGCCCAACAUCAAUCUCUCCAACCCGGCCCUCUUCUUCCUCCUCCAACAAAAGCCAAAGACCCCAAUAUUCAACAUCAAGCAGUAAACACGUACAACCAUCCAACAAUAUGCAAAGACCACAACUCAACCCGAAAUUGAUUUCGAUACCAGCAACAUCGCGCAACCCGACCCGACCAGCUCUAAAUUGACCCGAAACCAACCCGUUGUGAUCUUCCUCAUGCAUCUCGCAUGAAUCCGUACGAGGAAAGUCUAGAAGCUUCCAAAAAUUGGUGGGUUGGCCCUCUCCAACUUUCAAAUCCCGUGAACCUCGGGUACCAUGGUAUGAAUUCGUGCAUAUCUGGUUGAUUUUCAUUGGUUUGAGGUACGAUUUGAUUUUCCUGAAUUGUUAUUGGUCCACCGAUUUUGGUUUUGUUGAAGAAAGUCCAAUUAGGGGUACGAUUCGAGAGGAGGCUGAUCUUUUGAAUUUCAAAAAUUUAACCCUCAAUCCCCUUCUAUAAGUAGCCCUUUUGAGAGCAAGAAAGGGGAUCGAAAUGAAGGGUCAGAAAUUCUAGAGUUUCAAAAAACUGAAGAAGAAAAUUUUGUUGAGAGGCGAGAGGGUCACUGUUUAGGGGAUUUUUGGUUCUCUUCUUUCCUUUCUGGGGCUGGAGAUUCUAGAGGUGGAAUUCUUUGGAAAAAUUUCAGGGUUAGGAAUUUUAAUGCAAAAAUCUUUUCUAAACUAGCUGGGUUAGAGUAAAGAAACCUUUUCUUUGAGAACUUUCCAGUAGUGGUGGUUGGGCUUUCAUUGUAGGCUCGAGACCCGUUUGCUGCACUGAAACAGGUAAUAGCCUAUCCCGUUUAAUUUUUAAUUAUUUCUGCUUCAUCUCAAACUUCUGAAGUUAUAAGCUUUUAGUGGCCUGAUAUGCUGUUUGUUUAAAUCUCUAAAGUUGUGAACCUUGUAUCUACUUAAUGUACUGGUGUGAUUAAUCUUCUGAAGUUAUAAGUUUUUAGUAAUAUGGUGUGCUGGUUCGUUCAAAUUUCUAAAAUUUUAAGCUGUAGCGAUAUGCUAUGCUGGUUGUCUAAAUAUUUGAAGUUGUAAGCUUUUGCGAUAGCCUGGUGCGGUGGGAAUGCUUGCUGUAGAAGUCUUAGAAGGUUAUAGGAUUCUUGAUUGAAGUGUUGUUAUGAAGAAAUCAUAUUCAUUAGCUUGUUUCAUUUUUUUUUUUAUGUUCGAUUUGCUGGUCGUUUCUUGAGAACUGCUCUGUAAGCUUAUUUAACAUGUUUCCUAUGCUCAUCGUGAUUCAUUCGAUAAUUUGUCCUUUUUUUUUUUAUAUACAUAUGUGAUUGUCAUGUCUAAUUCAAAUAUGUGAGUAAGUCGAGAUGGUCGAAGCGAAAAAAGUAUGAACGUAUGCAGCACUUGGAUGCAUGAAAGGACCUAACAAGUCGUCAACUUAUAAUUGAGAAAUAUGUCGUACAUUUUGUUAACUGUAUUCAUUUUCUUAGUUUAAUUUACUCCAGUGAUUUGCUUAAUCUCCUAUACUUUAAAAAUUCCAGUAAUCACCCCCUGUCAAUGAUUGACCUGCUUUUUUUUUUUUUUUUUUCUACAAGGAUUGUUCUUGACAAUAUAAUUACCCAAAAAGGUAUUAGUAUUACUUAUUUGCUUUUCUUACUUAAGUUGUCUUGUGUUACUGAAAAGCUGCCUAAACAUAUGUUUUAUAUAGAUGUUAUUGUGGAUUGGUUCAUUAAUUAAUAGCUUAAUGGUUUCGUUAUACUAGAACCAAUUGUGAUGGGAUACAUAGUAACUUUGCUUUGUAGUAAUAUCUGCGCGUUUGCCUUCCCAUUAAUUUAAGUUGUAUGUCCCCUUUGUUGUUUCAAUAGGAUGUUCUCCAGUGCAUGGAAAAAACUAGGAGUUAGUUGGGUCCUUUUACAUGAAUUAUUAUUCAAACUUUGCCAAGGAAGUAUCACAUAUGCUUAAUAUUGCUUUCUUAAAGUUUAACUCCUUGAUUAUCUAGUUAUUUGAUUCUUCUGUUGCACUGUUGCAUUCUUGGUUUGUUGCUAUUUUUUUUCUUAGUCUAUUCUUCUUUUUAGCAAGUUUUCUUGUUCUAAAAAAGAUUGAUUUGUUUCUUGCCUUGAUGGACUUUCAUAGUAUCUCACUGUAAAAUUGUUUGGCCAUUUUUGAUGUUAUGCCUGUUAAUUUUCUUGCAUGUGAUAUUCUAAGUUUCUUCUUUACAACUAUUGUUAUUGUAGUACAUGAACGUAAUGUUGUAUUAAUUUAUGAGGUAGCUAUACAUAUUUCGAACAUGUUUUAAUCCGUUGUCUCUUCCUUACAUGGCAUGUGAAUUUGCUUUGGAGUCCACAAUGGACCUCCCCCCUGUUGCAUUUUCGAAGGGGCCAAUGAGGCCUAUAUCCAAAAUUAAAGGUCGAUCGUAUGGCGUAUCAAUGCAAGAAGAAUGGGUUAAAAUCCUAUCGUUGAAGUAUUCAAGAGACUCGAAAUUCUCGGCUUUCCGUUCCAUUUAUUUACUCAUUUAUUAUUAUUGUCUUUAUUUAUUUAGUUGUUUAUUUUAUUCAUUUGGGCCCCGAAGUCAAGGUUGUAAAUUUAAUAUAGGUGGAGCGAGACUCGAGUCGAUGACUCAAAAAUUAGACUAGGACGGUGAAAUGGGUCCAAGGUCCAAUUAGACUAGGACAGGUUUAUUGAUUUGGGUCCAAGGACUUAAAUCCCUUACUUUCCCCUUUCCCCUCUUCCUCAUGCUUUAUGUGUUUUGCGAACCUAGUUAAUUCCUUAGUCAAGUCGCUAAAAAACUAGCUUUGCUUAAACACCAAAAUAUUUCUAAAUUGCUUUCUUUUCGAAAAAUAAACUUUUUUCAAAGUUAUUCAAAGAUGGUUUUCAAACAGCCCGGAUAACCGCAAGUUAGAGAACGUUUUAGGUUCCUAACACCUUCCUAAAACGUUAAUAGGAACCACUUAUCUAGAAUCUCUAACUUAAAACGAUUUUCCUAUUUUGAAUCAUUUGAAGUAACUCUCUAAAGGUUUCUUAAUUCCUUUCCAAAAUUAAGUGGCGACUCUUUUCAAAAGUCAAAAUUUCUCCGCAAAACAUAAUCAAUAAUUAUAAGUAAUGCCUGAAGGCAAAUUGCAAACACCCAAUGAAAAUUAGAUACAAUCAACAAUGACCAAAAUAGAACUUAUAAUUACUGGCAACCAAGUAAAUACAGUCAAUUUCCAAUAAGUUCAUCAUUUCAUAUAACAACGAAUAUCCACUAACACAUGAAAUCAUAAUUAUACCCGAUGGCCAAUUCAUUAUUUGCUCAAUUAAGCAUUAUCAAACUCAAUCAUCAAUCAAAUAUCUAUUUUAAGAGUUCACAUUUCACCAUGAUUGAUAGCUGCACUCUAAAUCAUCAUUUUAUUUUCUUCACCAAUCUAACCCUUUUUUAUUCAUAUUGAACUAGGUAAAUUUUGUUACUAAUUAGUAACCCCUACAUUCAAGUCUUCAUUAAUUUCAAUGAUUUAUCCCAUUUAGUUGAUCAUUCAGCCAAUAAAUUCUAUUAAACUUACAAUUCUAGUUAGUGUCGUAUACCUUUACACAUCUUACUUCCUAGAACUUAGUCAAUCUUGACUUUAGGUUGUUAAUUCAUAUCAUUACCUUCGCUCAUCACAAUCAAUCCUCCUAACUAUCUUCUAGCAAGAAUAUCUCAUACUUUGAAUUUACACAAUAUUAGGGUCCCUCUUUUUGAUGUAUUAAAGACUAGCUCUAUAGAUUAGAUUGUAACCUAAUUCAUUUAUUAUUACUCACAUUCAUAUAUUAAUCUCUACAAAACAUCAAUUAAGUCAUAUAAAUACAAACACACUUCAAGGGAUCCAUAUAAAAUACAAUAACAUAUAAUUCUAUUAUUAUUAUUAUAUUAAUUUUAUGUUUUAUCCAUUCAAACUCCAUUUUCCUAGAUCUAGACAUGAAAUCUCCCAUUAGCUACAACUAUUACAUGCAACUAAUUCAAGUCCACGACCCAUUAGACCAUGUAACCUACCUGUACCCCAAGCUGUUGCAACAAGUAAUUACUUUAUUUGAUAUGAAAAGAUUUAAUUUAAUGAACUGCAUAUUACAUUAUCAUAGUCAUCAUCAUGUCAUCCAGUUCUGAAUGUUUCCUAUGUGAUAUAAGUUAUGUGAAUAUAUCCCGUCCUAAUUUUUUGAGUUUAAGGGUUAUGUUUAGUUUGAUCAAAUGCGUCUAUUUGGAUUUGAAGGAUAAUGAUUCCUCGAGGAACUUCUGGACUAGCACUCGAUGCAAUUUGUCAAGGAGAGGAUGAAAUCAUUAAGUUACAAUUAUGUUUUCAAAUGCAUAUCUUUUGGAUCCAUUCUAUCUAUGAUAAGUGUCUUCAAGUUGAAAACAUUUUCUCUGCAGAUUAGUUAAUUUGUUUCUUAUUCAAGUUGCAGGUAAAAAUAUUUCAUUGCUAGAGAUUAAUUAAUUUGUUUCUUCUUCAAGUUGCAAGUAAUAAUAUUUCAUUGAUGUUCUAAUACAGUUUUCUUUGUUGAAUAUAGAUAUGUCGAAGAGAAAGCAUGAAGAUAAUAUUAUAAAGCCAGUUCAGUCGACACAUACUUCAGAAGAUGCAUCCAUAUCACAAGCAAACAAGUCAAAGCUACCAUUAAAAUCACUUCUUCAAUCAAAACCUCAAGUGACACGUUCAGUUUCAUCCACAUCGCACCUAAAUUGAUUAGUUCACGUCACAACACAAAUAAAUCCAAAAGUUCUGGAAUCAGCUUCCUUAGUUCAACCUGUAACACAGCCUCCAGUACAACCUUCAUCACAAUUGACUUCGUCAGUUCAUCCUCCAAUACGUCAAGCAUCAUCGAAGCCUCCAGUACGUCAAGCACCAUCAAAUCCUCCAGUACGUCAAUCCUCCUCAGUUCAGCCCAUAGCGCAGCAGGUAUGAUCACAAGCUGCUCCAUUAGUUCAGCCUGCAACACAUCAGGAAUCAUAAGAUUUGAGUUCAUCCGUGCAGCCUCCAGCACGUUAGGCACCAUUAUUUCAUCCCGUAGCACAACAAGUACCAUCACAGACUACUUCAUUAGUUAAACCUGCAGCACAUCAAGUGCCAUUACAACUGACUUUGUUAUUUCAGACCGUCACACAGAAGGCACCAUCACAGCCAACUCCUCCAGUUUAACCCGCAACAUAACAAACACCAUCACAACCAAUUUCUCCAGUUCAACAAGUAGCACAACAAACAUAAUCACAUCCAACUCCUUCAAUUCAACAAGCAGUACAACAAACACCAUCACAACAGGCUCCAUCAUUUCAUCCCAUAGCAUAAGCACCACCUAAAUAGUAUACUGGUCGUAAGUCAAGCAGAUAUUGAACGGUAGAUGCAAUAGGUAAGAUGGUACACUUCAUGUAAUUUGUUUGCAUCUUAUUUCUUUUUAACUCGGUAAGCUUCUUUAAUUUUCUUACAUCAAAUUUCUUUAAUUUGAGUAUAAAUAUGUUAUGUUUGUUAUUUGCAUAUUCUUUUUCAUCCACUAAUUAUGCUCUGUAGUAUAAAUGCAUCCUCUUUUAUAAAGAUUCACAUGGGGCUUUGAAAACAAAACAACUGAAGCUUAGCGACAUGCUAAAUUUAUCCUCUGAAGAAUAUAUCGUUGUUGAAUUUGAUGACGUUGCACCAAUUGGAGAAGCACAAGGCCUUCUUGCAGGUUUUUGUGGGAUUUUAGCAACUGACAAUAUUAUUUUUUCAAUUGACUUUGCCAAAUGGAAUGAUUUACCUGAGUCAUACUUUAACCACUGCUUUGAUCAAAUUAUAAAGGUAUAAACUCUAUAUAUUUAUAACUAUAUUGAUAUAUUAUGUAUACAUACUUUAUAUUGACAUAGCUAGAGAUAAUCUAACCAAUAUUUCAUUUCCAAAGCCUCGAUUUUCUUUUGAAAUAACCAAGUCAAUUGCACGACGCUAUGUCUAUAAUUGUAUUUCAAAAAAGUGGGGUGCAAAGAGGCUAAAGUUGUGGGAUAAGACCUUUAACCCACUUCAAAGCCGAUCUAAACUUAUGGCUAAUGUUCCUGGAAUUUCACCGGAUCAAUGGACUUCUUAUGUUGAUUAUCGUUUGAAUAAGAAAACACAUGUAUCUUCUUAAAUCCUUCAUUUGAAGCCAAACUUAUUAUAUUUAUAUUGAAUUCAAGUAUUUCUUUUCUAUAAAAUGUGCAAGCAAAAUGCUAAAAAUUGGAAGAAACAAACUAUUCUACACAUUGGUGGCUCCAAGUCAAACUCGAGAAUAAGAGCUAAAAUGGUGAAAUAUAUUGGUUCAUUAUAUUUUACUUUAGUUUAUUAAGCAUGAAACUAUCCUUAAUUUGUUAAGUUAAUAUUGUUUGUAGAAGAUUGAGACUGGACAUAAGCCUGAACCAGCAUAAUUUUAUCUUUCUACUCAUAAGAAAGAAGAUGGAUCAUAUGUUAAUGAAGUGACAAAAGAGAUUUGUGUAAGUACUCUGUUGAGCAAUUUUUAUCGUUUCUUCUGGUUUUUCCUAUUUUAGUUACAACCUUAUGGUGUAUAGCAAAGUGAAUUGUUCAUAUUUCAACUGAUAGUGAAUUUCAAAACUGUGAUUGAAUAUGGGUUCUUAGAUCUUUGAAUAUUAUAUGUCAAGUUUCUGUCUCUUUUGUAAUCUUAUUAACAUUGUGUUGUUGAACCUAAAGUCUAGUGAAGCCGUGUGGGGCUCUUUUGAUUCACUAGCAUUGUUGUCUUGUUAUUCAUCUCAUUUUCUUAUUCAAAACACAAACUCAAAGUCUAGUGAAGUCGUGUGAGGCCCAUUUCGAUUCACUAGCAAUUUGUUGUUCAUUUUGUUGUUCUUGUGUUGGUUAAAAUCUCUUGAUACACACAUAGUCUUGUAUCAAUACGACAUUAAAAUCUCUACUCAAUAACCAAGGUUGUGGAAUCCCUUGAGCUAGAAUGAGGAGGUCCUGCCAUAAUACUUUCCUUUUUUCUACAGUAUUGAACCCAAAAUUAACCGUAAUUAAGAAUUCAUGGUCAUUGAUUCUGUCUCUGACCAAACAAUGGAUCAAUUGGGAUAUACUUCUGAUGUGUGUUACCAUAAUAGUAAUUCAGAUCUGAAAUAAACCAUAUUCUACCAUUGUCUGCUUCUUGGUAAUUGGUGUAGAUGCCCCAUCCAGGGCUUGAUACAACAACUUUCCCUUUAGUAUUAGGUUCAUGUAUCAUAGGAGAGACAACAACGGUGUUGCUGCCAGUUGGCAUUGGAUCUGCUAAGUGUCUCAUCUGAGGCAUCUUCUUUGAUUGUAUCUCGAGAGUAUUCUCUUUUGAUUGUUUUGUCCCGUACUCAUACAACGGCAUAAUAGGUCCCUUAUAUCUCCAUUCUUGAGUUAUUUCCUUUACUUUCUUUGUUCUUCUUAGUGGUUUAAAUUUAAAAGGUGCAGGUUAUUCAGGGUUGAGCAAAUAUGACCAACAGUUUGGCAUCCACUAAUUCCUUAUUAACAAUGGUAACCAGUCUGUAUCAUCUAGUAUUAGUAGGGACAACGUUCAUAAUAUUAGUAGAUGCAAUAUUUCCCUGACCUGCUACUCCUGCUGUUACUCCUUAAUUAUCUAUAGAUUAUAAUAUAUAUCCUUAUUAUAAAAAAAAAUUAAUACAAGUAGUUACCAAAAAAAUAUAGAACUGAGGUGUUCAAUAAUAUCAUGAAGACUGAAAGAUGGACUGGACUGUUUAGGGGUAACUUUGUUAAUGUCAUUCGAGUUGCCCUAACAAAGCUGUAGCUUGUAGAGGUAUAAUUUAAGUCUUCUCCUCUUAUAUUUUUUUAUUUUGUAAAAACUUGACUUUAGGCCUUAUUUAUGCUACUCAUGUUUGUUUUUGAAAAAAAUGAUCUCAUUAGGAGUUGUUCUUUAUAUUAUAUGAAUUAUUUACAUAGUCGGUGGUAUUUUUCAUCAAGUCUCAAAAGAGUUUGAAAUUUUGUGUCGACGUUUACUACAAUACAACUGACAUAAGUUGUCACUGUUUAAACAAUGACUGUUCUCUUACUCGAAAUUAAUAUUUUUUUGGGUUGGCACUUUGGUCAGCGGAUAAGGUAUAUAUGAAACAAGAUAGAAUCUAUGACACUUUUCUUUGGUUGUGAACUUUCUGUAAAUCAAGUAAAUGUUUUGUGUGACAUUAUUUUUUCGACCUGAAGCGUUGCAUAUAUGAAAUAACUUCUUAUGAGAAAUCAUUGCUUGGAAUGCGGCUUACACAACCCCUUACUCCAUUCCCUUCCCAUACAAGACUGGUGAAGAGAAUCCCUUAACAAACUAUUAGAAAUGCUCUAUUUGAAGAAUUAUAUGCAUUAUGACUUCAGGAAUCUGUAAUCAGUGCCUUUAACAUUACUUGUUUAGCCUCAUAUUUUAUUUUUGUGUAUUAGAGUUAGCCUGCUAUAUUGAAUUAUUGGAAUACAUGGGGUAUGAUGUUGUUGUAAGAAUGAACCCAAAAAGGAACCAACAAGACCUAAUAAAGGCCUAAAAAGUCCUAAUAUAUUGUGUAUGUCAUUUUUAUUUUUCCUUUUGUGGACCACUUAUAAUCAACUCAUACUUGUAAAUAAAUACUUUCAGUUCUUGCAAUGAACUCUAAGGUAUAAUGAUUUCCGGCUUAAGAUUAUGUCUAAAUUUGUUUCGAGCAUCGUAUUUACCCCUCCUAUGUUGUAUCAACAGUUGUGUUGUGUGUUGUACUGGACAUAUUUGAAUGAUAUGGUAAAUGGACUUAACCUACUUCUCUUGCUUCUCUUUGCUCUACUGAUUGUUGUUCUCAUUUACUCUCUCGACCAAUUGCUAUGUAUGUUAGGUUUUAUUGAUUCUAUGCAGUGUUUUUCUGUUGAAAUCAAAGCUGUAUUUCACUAUGUCAAAGAACUCGGGCUUGAAGUUUAUCAUAUUUCAUGAUAUUGUUCACCCUAAACCACGAUUUAUUUUUGACAUCCCAAAAUAUAGUUCCAAUGUGAUAUAUAUGUGCAAUGCUUAGCAUCUAAGAAAAUGGAAAAAAAGCAACAGAAUGUGAAUUUCAGUGUUUGGUUCUGAGUUCUAAUCAUAGCUAGAACUUAGAACAGAGCUUAAUUACUGGGCAGAGGUCAUUCGUGAUCUCAUACAAUGCCUUUUGAGAUUUUUGAUGUAACACCUGCAAGGUUGAGGCAUGAUAAUAUAAGUACUCAACUAUGAUGAUAUCUGUGUUGUACUAUAUUCUUUAAUUGCCCAUUACUAAUUGAAGUUAUAUUAUGAUUUUUGUGUUGUACUAUAUUUAGGAAAAAAUUAAACUCACAGUAAGUCAAAGCACCGUGGAUGAGUCUGAAGUUUCUCCCAAUGAUGCUGUUUGUAAGGUACUAGGAAAAGAGCAUUCUGGAAGGGUAAGGUGCUUGGGAUUAGGAGCUGUUCCUAGCAGAUCCUUUAAGCAAGCACGUCCUCAUUUUGGUGGUAUGAGUUCUUCAAGUAGUAACAGUUCAUAUCCAUCCAAUUGCCAAGAAAACUACACUCAAAUGCUGAAUGCUCAUAAGCAAAGCCAAGAGAACUACAAAGAAAUGGUGAAUUCUCACAAUCUAAUGAUGAACUCUUUCAAGGAAUAUAUGAUAAUGAAAUAAGGCACGAUACUUGAACAGUUUGCAGGAUUUUUCACUUCUCCUACGGUAAAUAAUUUUAUUGAAUUACCUUUUUCAUUUGAAAAAAAUUAAGUUGAUAUAUUGUUAUAAAAUAAUUAGCAUUCAAAGACCUUAUAUAAUUACUAUUUUUAUUUAUACUUUUGCAGCCAAGUGAUGCAUCUAGUGGACCUCUUUCGAAUGUGAACGGAAGAUCAUCUGGUGAUAGUUAUUCUAGCGAUAAUCAUUGAGGUUUCUUGUAAUUGUAUUAGUAAUUAUGACAAUGUUAUCGAAUCGUUGGAGUAAUAUUUUGUGUUUAUAUUAAAUUAGUCUUAAUUAUAUUAAAUUAGGCUUUAAGACUAAUGACAACACUUUGUGGUACGUUUUUAUGAUCUAAUAUAUUUUGAUUUUUAUUGUUAUUAAGAUGUAUUUUUGUUUGAUCCAAGUACGGUGAAUGAUAUACAUGUAUUUGUGUUUUAUCCAAGUAAAGUGAAUGAUAUAUAUAUAUAUAUAUAUGAAAAUUAUUAAAUAAUAUUCAAAUUUAAAUAUUGAUCUUGAAGACUAUAAUUAUUCUUUUUUAAAAAUACAAAGUGAAUUGUGGAGGUCUUGACCCCUGCAAUUUAUAUAGAACAAAAAUUUUGGUAGUAGAUUUAGUUUACAUAUUGCGGGGGUUUUAACCGCCGCUAAACAACUACCGCUAAAAGAUUGCGGCGGUAAAUAAAAAAUCACUGUAAACUGAUUGCAACGCUUGUAAUUGCGGGGGUUUUGAAAACCGCCGCGCUGUCAUUUUGUGGGGGUUGUCGACCUCCGGAAUUUAUAAAUAUAACCCUCGCAAAGUGAGCAGUUUUUUGUAGUGAUCAUUCAACCAAUAGAUUUUAUUCAACUUACAAUUCCAGCUAGAGUCAUAUACCUUUAUGCAUAUUAUUUUCUGGCAUUAGCCAAACUUGACUUUAGGUUGUUAAGUCAUACCUUUACCUUCUCUCAUCACAAUCAAUCUUUUUAAUUAUCUUCUAGCAAGAAUACCUCAUACUUUAAAUUUACACAAUACCGAGUUUACUCUUUUUGAGGUUUUAAAGAUUAGGUCUAUAGAUUAGAAGGUCACCUAAUUUUUUUAUUGUUACUCAGAUUCACAUAACAACUUUAUAAAUCAUUAAAGUCAUAUAAACACAAGCAUCCAUCAAGGAAUCCACACAUAAUACAAUAACAUAUACUUAUCUCAUUACUAUAUUAGUUUUGUGUUUUAUUUAUCCAAACUCCAUGUCUGUUGGUCUAGACAUGAAAUCUCCCAUCAACUACAGUUAUUACAUGCAAUUAAUCAAAGUUUACUAUACAUUAAACUACCUAUCUAGGCUCCAAGUUGCUGCGAUAAAUAAGUUAUAUCAUGGAUGAUAUUUCUUUUUCUUCAUAUUUUCAAAGGCUAAAUCAUCUAAUAAACAAUAAUUAUAAGAGUAAUUAAAAAAUUACUCUUCAAACAAAUACGUUGAAAAUUCAAACUCAGCAAUUUUAUCCUUGUUCAUAAUCUACGAAAUUACCCAACAGUCAAUUAAUCAUUCAACUAAUUCUAUCAAAUCCAAUUUAAAUCCAUUAAUGAAGUUUUGCCCCAUGUUUAUUGAACUUAAUAUCCCCAACUAUGAGAAAAUAUCCCUCUAGGAAUUAAUAAUAAAAUAUUUGAGUUUUGGAUCUGAAACCCGUCAAAACCAGACUUAAAUAUUAUCCCAUUGUUGUUGCAGCGAUUAGAUUACCAAUGCAGGAGUUAAUUUUUCAAUCCAGACAAUGUUUUGUAAAAUAGUCAUAACUUUUUACUUUAAAUGUGGAUUCAUGAAUAAUUGGAUUCAUUGGAAGAAAACUCAAAGAUCUUUCAUUAGAUUGGUAUUAUAUACCCCAUUACUAUGCAUAUUCUAGGAGAUAUACUCAUCUAAAGUUGAUUCUAGUUUAAACUUAGCUCAAUAUUCAAACGGUAGGAACACUUUCAACUUAAAUUUAUGGUAGAGAUGUUAUAUGAUCUUAGUACAUAUCUAAUGCACUCUCAAACUAAAUAAUUAGUCAUAUAACUUAGGGUGACAGAUCUUUACCGUAGAAGAUGAAAUGAAUCACUAUAUAUUUGUCCUUUGUGAUAUGUUUUCAUGGGCACGUUCUACUGUAUACUUUUCCAUUCAAGAGGGCGCUUUCUAUAAUUGAGAUUGCGGAAAUAUCCCUCGAGGCUUUGCAUCAUAUAUAAUUGCCGACAUGCAUAUCUACCAUAUGCUUAAGAUUUCAAGAAAACUCAUUUGUCACCAAUUGUAUUUAACAAUGUUUUCCUAAUUGACAAUGUUAUCUUUAUUCUUUUAACUAGAUCUUCUCUUUCCUUGCACCUUUAUCUAUCAUUGAUCUUCAUUCCUCACAAUUAUUUUGUUCUUUCUUUACUCGAGAAAUGUUCCCUUCUCCAUCCAUGUCUUUAGACAUCCCAUCGACCACCAAAGUUUUUGCUAAAAAUGUUAAUUUCAUUCUUUUUGCCAUUGUUGAUCCUGUCGAAGCUGAUGUUAUUGCUAAUCCCUCAGGAGAUGAUGAUAUCGCCUUCUUUUCCCCUGUGGUGGAAGGAGUUCACUUCUUUGGUGGCCUAUCCAAAUGACAUUGAGUUCUUAGUGCACCCGAUAAUUUUGCAAAAACUUAACUCUCAAAAGAAUUGCAGUGUCCAGUCCUAUGCAAACAACUUCACUAAUCCUGGACCUAUUUUGUUGAAUAUUACCUCUCCAUGGCAGUGGCGAACCCAGGAUUUAAGGAUAAUGGGUGCUUAAAAAAUUUAAAAACUGGAAAAAGUAAAAAAUUACACAAUGAGGUUCAAACCCGGGGCCUCUUCUUUCAAAUGAAGCACCUUAAAAUCAAUCUAAAUGCCAAUGCACCCAACCAAAUUUUUGUUAUAGUGAGUGCUUUUAUAUGUUUUAUACCUAUUUUUCUAUAUUUUCUAUGUAAUUAUACCUAAUCCGUGUCGAGUUUAGUGGGUGUCGAAACACUCCAAAAUUCUACAUAGGUGCGCCCCUGCUACACGGUUGAGGAAGCUGAUAUCACUCUCCCUUAGAUUAUUAUACAUAAAAAUGUCCCUUCUAUUUUCCUACCAAAUCUCUCACUAUUUCGGCAUAUAAAUGAAUAGAAUCAAAGAGACUAUGACAGAUCAUGCUUACCAGGGUACUUCCUACUCUCCCACCAGAACCCUUUCAUAAUCAAUUAAUUUAUUUUCAUAAUAAUUGACUAUGGAUUAUUAUUUACAUAAAAUUCAAGACCAUCUUGAAUAGUUAUUACUUCAAUACUAUGCUAGUUGCAUUAGGAAUGGUUCUAGUCUUAAAAAAGAUGAAAUAUCCUCCAUUGUCUCUAAGUCAAGAACUAUCUCCUAAAUUAUCCCUUGAAGUUUCAUCAAUGUUGCAUUAUACACCCCUGUAGAGGACAAUCCCACCUUAGCGCUCAACAAAUUACUUUUGGUAUGUAUUUCUCUUAUUGUUAAACCCUAUUGUAAUGACCUCCUAUUUGUUUUGUGAGUUUUACUUGUCUUUUCCAUUUUAGCUUUUCCCGUAGCUUAUAUACGUAAUUUGUGACUUUCAAGAACGGAUAAUACAUAUAUUUGAGGGGUUCGAAAGUGAUAUACGUGAUUAGUUGGUUCUUGAAUUUUAAUAAAGUUAAGCUUGAUCCGGGAUAAUUUUUAGUCAAGAUGACCUUGGAUUGGUUUCAAUAAGUUAAAACAUCCCUUUUAGUAAAUUUACAUAUUUCAUUUAUUUUCUUGGGGUCCCAAAUAAAUUUCGAGGAUAUAUUCCAAAGUUUGGUUAUUAUAAACAAUUAUUUACGUUGUGGUUAAUGGGCCGAUUCCAUGAAUUUUACUAAAAAUUACACAAAUACACAACUUAAGUUUUCAAUAUUACAAAAAAUUCCAACUCCCUAAACAUAUUACAAAAAUCCCAACAUACACACAAAAUACUAUGUAUAUGUCGGUUAUGUUAUGUAUAUUAAUAGGGAGAGAGAAUAAAGUAAUUAAAAAAAUGGGAGGGACUGUAAUUACUUCCAAAAGAAUUGGUAUUUAUGUUAUUUAUACUAAAUUUUAAUAUCCUAUCCCACUUGGUCCAUGUAUAGCCAUGAAUUAAAUUGAAUUGAGAGUUUAAUAUUUUAGUGAUAACUCAAUCAUUCAUUCAUAUUUAUGCAAAAUCAGCGAGGAAACCACACGAUGAUUACAAGUAAUCUCUAACCAAACUCCAAAUCUAUGUUUGACAAUUAUAGUAAUGGUCACUGGAGGGAAUAAAAGGGAAUUGAAUUGCUGCCUUAUUUUUGUUAGAUAUGGUACAAUGAAUGUGAGACGUGAGUGUGAGGAUGCAAAGAAUUAAUUUUCAGAUCCUAGCAUUUUCAGUUUUCUUAUAUUUUGUGGACAUAACCAAUGAUUAGCAAUCAUUUAAUAAUAAUAAUAGGAUGUAGGAAUAAUAGUUCCUAUACAAUUAAAAGUACUACAGUUGCUAGUUUUUCCUCGUGCUUAACUUUGCUUGAUUAGUUAUGGUUUUGGUAAGUUUAGGUUUUAGGUCCAGGUCGCAUAAUAAUUUGUUUUAGCUAAAAUUUUACUUACUAGUUCAUAUAUUAUGGAGAUCAUAUAUUUAAUAGAUUUUGACCAUUCGAAAGUUUUACGAAAGGGCAAGGCCCUUACAAAUUAGCUUGCAUUUAAAUUCUUUGAUUGAGGUAGGUUAUGGUUUAAUUGGAGUUUAGACUCAAUUUAAUUGCAUGUAUACUCCUAAAUUGGAUGCUUGUUGAUUUGUCUACAGGUAUACUUGAAUUUGAUGAUAUUCGGAUUGUUGACACUUGUAUGAAUGAUCAUUGGAAAUUGAACUUAAUCAAAUUGCUUUUCUAUUUUAAGUGCAUUUUUAAUUUUAGUACGUCGUAUUACAUUCUGAGAGAUAGUGUGAACUUGAUAAAAUAUAUAAUAUGGUUAUGAAGAAUUGGGUAAUACGCCGGUACAAAUAUGGAUAUUGAUAUUACUUAUUUAUUGAGGCUCAUGUACCAUGUCGGUACGAUACAUGGACUUAGAUUACCCCCUGUAUACCAUGACUAGUUGGAAAAAAAUAAGACCCUUUGACUGUGUGUACAAAUUAUGUUAAUUUUGUGAGGUCGUGUGGUUUAAUAAGCUGAUAACGAGAUAAUAGUGUUCUAAUUGUGAGGUUGAGAAGGACAUAGUUGUUACUUCUGGUAUUAUUAUUGAUUCGUGAUUGUCUACGGUAUGAUUGGUACUCUUGAUGGUUACAUGGCUUGUUUGUAAGCAUUGUUUGACCCAUCUUUGAUGUAAUUGUUGAUUCAUAGAAUACUUGCUAUGUGUUGAUGUCUGUCUACUUGUUAUUUGAUUUAUGUUGUAUACAUGCUAUUAAAUUGAGUUGGCUUAUGACACCUACGAGUAUAUAGUGGCUUGUACUGAUACUAUCCUAUACUCUUCUUUUGUUGUGUGUAGAAAUUAUUCCAAAGGAUCAGCCUGACCUUAUCUCUAGCGUUUUAUAACAGAUCUCGGUCCAAAGGUGGGUAGUUCAUCUCCAAGUUGUUGUUGAUUAUCAUAUUAGUUCUUGUCCUUUCAGGCAAUGAACUACUCUUUAUAUUUUGUUAUUUUGGAUAUUUAUUUUAUUCAUGAUUUUUUCUUUAGAAGUUCUUGUAUGAUGACAUCGGGUCUUGGGGAUUUAAUAGGUAGUUUGUUUGAUUUCUGCAUUAAUAAUGAUCAGUUUUGAAUUUAUUCUCAUUAAAUUGGUUUUUAUGAUGACCUCUUCUUAGUAUUGGUUAAAUGAUUUGGUAAUGGUUUAGAUUAGAUGAUUCUCCCACAAGAAGAUUAGUGUGGCUGCCAUUCAUAGUCAUUUAGGUUGUUAUAAAGUUAGUAUUUGAGCUCUAGGUUCAUCGAUCUUGUUGUACAAGAAUAUGUCUAGUUAAGUCUUUCAAAAUGGUAUAAAGAUGUCUGUAGUUUUCUUUGAGAGGCUACAGGAUACUAGGAAAAUUCAAUUUUUUCUUUCAUAUAAUUACUUGAUUUAAAUCGGUAUCUGGCGAUCCAAAUUGGAAUAUGACUUCUUUCAUUCUUAUUCUCACGGAUGGUGAGAACAUAAGCAAAUGGAGCAAGAGUUAAGAUGACCAAACCAGUUGUUAGGGACAUAGAGGAUAGGCAAGGAGAAGAUGAGGUAGAGGAAGGACAACACCAUUCACCAAGGGCAAGGCUCGAGCCAUAAAACUAGCUCGAGAGAGGUUAGUAUCUCUUCUCACAUUCAAUGAUAUGCAUGAGAUAGUAGAGGAUUGACGAUAUCGAUCAUGAUGAGCAGAUGUCGAUUCAUGAUAGGGAAACACUAGUUCAGAGAGGUGGAACUCUAAUUUAAAUGUCUUCCUAUGUGAUUCAGUAGGUUUGAGCUUUUUGAGUGGGUUGGAAGGAGUCGGGACUAUGUUUGCACUACCCACAAUUCAACAUCUUGGGUUUUUAUAUGUUGUUGCUAUAGAACCUCAGAUGGAAGAGGUGUUAGGGUUGUUUUUUCUGUCGAGACAUAUAGUGGGUCUAGUAAUGACUGGAGAUAAACAUGAUCUAUUUUGCAAGUUUAUCAUGGUGAAGGCUUGUUUUUCAUGCCACCGAGUCUGAGAAUGCUGAUGAGUUCAAUAUUGAUUGCUAUGAGAGACUUCACAAAGUGGUAGUGGUUGAGAGUAUGGUGUGGAAUUGGUCACUUUUUAGUUUUAAGGAGAAGCCAAGAUAUGGUGAAGAGCUUAUAUAGAGUGUAGGUCUCCACUGACUUAGACUCUAUUUUACUUAGUUUUUCUAGAAAAGUAUGUGCCUCGUAUAUUAAGUGAAAAUAAAAACAAUGAGUUCACUUAUCUUGAGUAGGGGAGUAUGUCAGUUGUGGCCUAUGAGGCCAAAUUUCAUUCAUUGUCUUGAUAUUCAUCUCAGCUGCUGCAAAUCAAAGAGGAGAUGAUCCAUCCUUUUUGAAGGGUUUUAAUAAAGGUCUUUAGAUUUAUGGUCUUCAUAUGAUAUCUAGGUAACUCAUUCCAGGAUAUGGUUGAUUUUGUUAAGAAUAUAUAGGUUUUAAGGUAACAAGGUUAUGCCAAAACUCUAGGAAAAAAGGCCAGCAAAGAGGGUAAUUUCAAUAAUUUUUAUUCUAGGGGUCUGUUAAAGGCUAUCCAACCAUCUUCAAACUUUAGUGGUUACCUCACUUCAUCUUCUUCAUCUUAAUGACUCACCUUGGAUCGCACAUAUUAUGAGUGUGGUAGAGUUGGUAACAUCCGAAGGUAUUAUCCUAACUUAACAAAGUGUCGUUAGUUUGGCCAGUUGCAAUCUCCUUAAGCUCUAGUUUCUGUAGGUAAUGGUGGUCGUAGUAAUGAUAGAGGUUGUCCACAGGGUGGGCUGUGGUCACCAGGUAGGUAACAGUGGUAAUCAGCCCCAUCUAGGUGGUUCUUAGGUUGGCAGAGGUAACACUCAACCUAGUGAUAGGGUCCAUUUCUAUGCUUUUCUAGGCAAGGUCAAGGCAGAGACAUCAGACGUUGUUAUUACAUAUAUUAUUCUUAUCUGUGAUCAAAUAGCCACGGUAUUAUUUGAUCCUAGUUCUACUUUCUCAUAUGAAUCUACCAGUUUUGAUUUGGGGUAAAAAAUGGUGUGUGAUCUACAUGACUUUCUUAUUCACGUGCCUACCCCUGUUGGUGAUUUUAUUAUUGUUGAUAGGGUUUACCUUAUUCUAUUAUGUGUAUGGGGUAUCAAACUUGGACAAAUUUCAUGAUUCUUGAUAUGAUAGAUUUUAACAUAAUUGUGGAGAUGAGUUGGUUGUCUCUGUAUCAUUUUUUAUUAGUCUCUCAUGCUAAGAUAGUUAUUGUGGCUAUGUCGAGGAUGAAUGGACUUGAGUGGGAGAAUGAUUUUAGUUCUACUCUAAUGAAAGUUAUUUUCUUUACUCAUACGAAGAGGUUGAUUGGGAGGGGUUGUUCAUCCUUUCUAGCAUACCUUCAAGACACUAUUGUAGAGGUCCUAUCCAUUGAGUCAGUUCCUAUGGUGUCUUAGUUCCAAGGGGUAUUUCUUGUAGAUUUGCCUAGCAUACCAGCAGAUCAUGACAUUAAUUUCUAUAUUGAUCUAGUGCUAUGUACUCAUCCUAUUUCUAUUUUGCACUGUAAGAUGGCUCUUAUAGAGUUGUGGGAGCUAAAGACACAAUUGUAGGAUUUGUUGAGUAAGGUAAUUAUCUAACAGAGUGCCUCUCUGUAGGUUUCUUCUAUUUAAUUUGUGAAAAAAGGAUAGCAGUCUUUAUAUAUCUAAUGACGAUAGGCAGUUGAAAAAGGUUAUGAUUCAUAACAAGUAUCCUUUACCCUGCAUUGAUGAUUUAUUUGACCAAUUGUAGGGUACAUCUAUCUUUUACAAUGCUGAUUUGAGUUCUGGAUAUCACCAACUUAAGAUUCGAGUUGAUGAUAUUCUUACUGUAUUUUGGACUAGGUACGGGAAAUAUGAGUUUCUUUUGAUGUCCUUUGGACUGACUAAUGCCCUAGCUAUUUUUAUGAGUUUGGUGAAUAGGAUAUUUAAGCCUUAUUUGAAUUCUUUCAUGAUUGUCUUUAUUUAUGAUAUUUUGAUUUAUUCUAUGAGUAAAGAGGAACAUAAGAAUCACUUUAGGACUAUUUUGAGUUUGUUAAAAAAGGAAAAGCUUUGCAUGAAGUUUUCUACGUAUGAAUUCUAGUUGGCUUUUGCAUGCUUUAUGGGGCAUGCGGUAUCUAUAAAGGUGUAAUGGUAGACCCAUAUAAGAUUAAAGUGGUUAAGAAUUAAGCUAGCCCUACUUUAGUGAUAGAGGUUCGUUGUUUGGUAGGGUUAGCUAGUUAUUUUCAUAUGUUUGUGAAAGGCUUUGCUUCUAUUGCUACUAUAUGACGCGGUUGACUCAGAAGAAUGUGCCUUUUGUUUCGUCUAAUGAGUGUGAGGAUAGCAUUCAAAAUCUCAAGACCUUAUUGACUAUCGCUCCUAUUCUUUCGUUGCUAGUAGAUAUUGUUAUAACUUACAUUUUGGUUUAGGUGCUAUUUUUACAGGAAAGGAAUUGAAGCCUAACGAGAGAAUUAUCCUACUUAUGACCGUGAGUUAGCUGUUGCAUUUU